ensembl:ncRNA F12D9.9 ncRNA
GUGUACAUCUCCGAACCUAACCUAAUACGUCUGAAAGGAAGAAAAGAGAAGUGAAAAAGUAUGUAAAGUACAUCUAUAUGUAUGUAUAUUCACACUUUUUUCUCGUAUUUUUCGAUCCAGUAUAUAUCUUUCUUCUUAUUUU